ensembl:snoRNA
UCUCUUUUUCUUGGUGGGUGUUGAGUGUGUGGUCCCUGUCCUCCCCCCAUAAUGUAUUGAGGCAGAGAGAAAUGGCUACAGCCCCCCUCUAUACCAUGUCUUUGGUACCCAUGGCUUUUAGUCCACCAGUUAUAUCCUCAAGCACCAGGACACAG